AUGCACGCUGGCGGCGUGCCUAAUCCCUGCCAGUCGAGCGAACAGACGAGGAGCUUGCUCCUCUGACGUUAGCGGCGGACGGGUGAGUAACACGUGGAUAACCUACCUAUAAGACUGGGAUAACUUCGGGAAACCGGAGCUAAUACCGGAUAAUAUAUUGAACCGCAUGGUUCAAUAGUGAAAGACGGUUUUGCUGUCACUUAUAGAUGGAUCCGCGCCGCAUUAGCUAGUUGGUAAGGUAACGGCUUACCAAGGCGACGAUGCGUAGCCGACCUGAGAGGGUGAUCGGCCACACUGGAACUGAGACACGGUCCAGACUCCUACGGGAGGCAGCAGUAGGGAAUCUUCCGCAAUGGGCGAAAGCCUGACGGAGCAACGCCGCGUGAGUGAUGAAGGUCUUCGGAUCGUAAAACUCUGUUAUUAGGGAAGAACAAAUGUGUAAGUAACUAUGCACGUCUUGACGGUACCUAAUCAGAAAGCCACGGCUAACUACGUG
rnacentral:rRNA from 1 species